rnacentral:rRNA from 1 species
AUUGAACGCUGGCGGCAGGCCUAACACAUGCAAGUCGAGCGGAUGAGGAAAGCUUGCUUUUCGAUUCAGCGGCGGACGGGUGAGUAAUGCCUAGGAAUCUGCCUGUUAGUGGGGGAUAACUCGGGGAGACUCGGGCUAAUACCGCAUACGUCCUACGGGAGAAAGUGGGGGAUCUUCGGACCUCACGCUAACAGAUGAGCCUAGGUCGGGUUAGGUAGUAGGUGAGGUAAUGGCUCACCUGGGCGACGAUCCGUAACUGGGCUGAGAGGAUGAGCAGUCACACAGGAACUGAGACACGGUGCAGACUCCUACGGGAGGCAGCAGUGGGGAAUAUUGGACAAUGGGCGAAAGCCUGAUCCAGCCAUGCCGCGUGUGUGAAGAAGGUCUUCGGAUUGUAAAGCACUUUAAGUUGGGAGGAAGGGUAUUCACCUAAUACGUGGGUACUUUGACGUUACCAACAGAAUAAGCACCGGCUAACUCUGUGCCAGCAGCCGCAGUAAUAC